UUCCGGUUGAUCCUGCCGGACCCGACUGCUAUCAGAGUGAGAUUAAGCCAUGCGAGUUAACGUAGCAAUACGUGGCGCACGGCUCAGUAACACGUAGUCAACAUGCCCAGAGGACGUGGAUAACCUCGGGAAACUGAGUCUAAACCACGAUAGGUCAUGAUUUCCGGAAUGGAUCAUGGCUCAAAUCUACAUGGCCCCUGGAUUGGACUGCGGCCGAUCAGGCAGUUGGUGAGGUAAAGGCCCACCAAACCUAUAACCGGUACGGGCUCUGAGAGGAGAAGCCCGGAGAUGGGCACUGAGACAAGGGCCCAGGCCCUAUGGGGCGCAGCAGGCGCGAAACCUCUGCAAUAGGCGAAAGCCUGACAGGGUUACUCUGAGUGGUUUCCGCUAAGGGAAUCUUUUGGCACCUCUAAAAAUGGUGCAGAAUAAGGGGUGGGCAAGUCUGGUGUCAGCCGCCGCGGUAAUACCAGCACCCCGAGUGGUCGGGACGAUUAUUGGGCCUAAAGCAUCCGUAGCCGGUCCUGCGAGUCUUCCGUUAAAUCCAGCUGCUCAACAGAUGGGCUGCGGAAGAUACUACAGGGCUAGGAGGCGGGAGAGGCAAGCGGUACUUUAUGGGUAGGGGUAAAAUCCUUUGAUCCAUGGAAGACCACCAGUGGCGAAGGCGGCUUGCCAGAACGCGCUCGACGGUGAGGGAUGAAAGCUGGGGGAGCAAACCGGAUUAGAUACCCGGGUAGUCCCAG
rnacentral:rRNA from 1 species